GGAAUACUCUCAUAGAAGCAGGAGGAGGGAAGAUGUGAUAGGGGGUUUCCAGGAGGGAGGGAAACCAGGAAAGAGGAUAACAUUUGAAAUGUAAAUAAAGAAAAUUUCCAAUAAAAAAAGAAAAUAAGAAAUAGAAUAUAACUUCUUCUCAGCACCUCACAGAACAUCCUCCAAAAUUGAUCAUAUAAUUGGAUACAAAACAAACCUCAACAGAUAGAAGAAGAAGAUACAUUUUGAACGGAGGCCUUAUAUUCUAUCAGAUCACCAUGGACAAAGGCUUCACUUCACCCAGAAGAGAAAUAAGAAAGAGCACACAUACUCAAGGAAAUUAAACAACUCUCUACUCAAUGAUCACUUAGUUAAGAAAGAAAUAAAGAAAGAAAUGAAAGGCUUUCUAUAAUUCAAUGAAAAUGAAGACACAACAUACUCAAACAUAUGAGACACAAUGAAAACAGUGUUAAGAGGAAAAUUCAUAGCACUAAGUGUCUUCAUAAAGAAAUUGGAGAAAUCCUAUAAUAGCAAUAUAACUCUAGAAAUGAAAGCUCUAGAACAAACAGAAGCAAACACACUCAAGAGGAGUAGAUGGCAGAAAAUAGUCCAAGGCAGGACUGAAAUCAACCAAUUAGAAACAAAGAGAACAAUACAAAGAAUCGACAAAACCAAGAGCUGGUUCUUUGAGAAAAUUUAACAAGAUAGACAAAACCUUAGCCAAACUAGCUAAAAGGCGCAGAGUCAGUAUCCAAAUUAACAAAAUCAAAAAUGAAAAGGGAGUCAUAACAAUAUAAAAUGAGGAAAUUUUAAGAAAUCAUCAUGUUUUAAUUCAGAAUCAUAUACUUGAUAAAACUGGAAAAUGUAAAAGAAAUGGAUGAUUUUUUUAGACAGAUACCACAUACCAAGAUAGGUAAACUAUAUAAACAGUCCCAUAGCCCCUAAGAAAAUAGCGUUCAUUAAAAAACUCCCAAUCAAACCAAAACAAACCUAACCAAAACAAAACAAACCAAAACAAAAACAAAAACCACCCAGGGCCAGAUGGUUUUAGUGCAGAAUUAUACCAGACUUUCAAAGAAGAACUAAUACCAAUACGCCUCAAAGUAUUCCAUAAAAUAGGAACAGGAGUACAACCUAAUUCAUUCUAUAAGGCUUCAGUCACAAUGAUAACUAAACCACAAAAGGACCCAACAGAGAAAGAGAACUUCAGAUCAAAUUUGGUUAUUAACAUUGACCCAAAAAUACUCAAUAAAAUAUAAGAACACAUCAAAAACAUCGUUUACUGUGAUCAAAUAUGCUUCAUCCCAGGGAUGCAGGGAUGGUUCAACAUAUGAAAAUCCAUCAAUGUAAUUCACUGUAUAAACAAACUC
rnacentral:lncRNA from 1 species